rnacentral:rRNA from 1 species
GACGAACGCUGGCGGCGUGCUUAACACAUGCAAGUCGAACGGAAAGGCCCUGCUUUUGUGGGGUGCUCGAGUGGCGAAGGGGUGAGUAACACGUGAGUAACCUGCCCUUGACUUUGGGAUAACUUCAGGAAACUGGGGCUAAUACCGGAUAGGAGCUCCUGCUGCAUGGUGGGGGAUGGAAAGUUUCGGCGGUUGGGGAUGGACUCGCGGCUUAUCAGCUUGUUGGUGGGGUAGUGGCUUACCAAGGCUUUGACGGGUAGCCGGCCUGGGAGGGUGACCGGCCACAUUGGGACUGGGAUACGGCCCAGACUCCUACGGGAGGCAGCAGUGGGGAAUAUUGCACAAUGGGCGGAAGCCUGAUGCAGCAACGCCGCGGGCGGGAUGACGGCCUUCGGGGUGGAAACCGCUUUCGCCUGUGACGAAGCGUUAGUGACGGGAAUGGGUAAAGAAGCACCGGCUAACUACGUG